UGGCAGGCACCAGGGCAGGUACUGGGCUCCAGGCGGCUGGGCAGGGCCUUUACUUGGAGGGAUCAUUGCAGCCAUGUUUCCACCAAGACAGGGCCUGGAGUCUCUGGGCUUACAGCUCCCACUGGCUCUGGUGUGGAGUCAGCCCCCACAAGGCCUGGCGUGCGGUGUUCCCAAGUCCACGCCUCCUGCUGUGUCUGCCCUGAGCCCUCAUGAAGCAGACAAGGAGACAGACACGGAAAGGCUCCUUCUGGCCGCUGAGGAGUUAACACACUGUGGGGGCUGAGGGCAGGAACCAGAAGACCAGCCGUGGCUGGUGUGGCUCAGGUGGUUGAACAUCGUCCCAUGCAACGAGAGGUCACUGG